rnacentral:misc_RNA from 1 species
AAAGUCGUAACAAGGUAUCCGUAGGUGAACCUGCGGAUGGAUCAUUACUGUAAAGACCUAAGAACAGACUAAACCCCUGUUCUUAUGUCGAUCUACACUUUGUGAACUGUUGAUGUCUCUGGCAGUCUCUCUUACCCUUGUGGCAAAUGGGCUGCCGAUGGGCUUUGCUCAUCACAUCUGUUAACUCUUUGCUAAACAUUUAAUGUCUGAAACUCUUCAUAUUAUAAAUGUGAAAACAACUUUUGACAACGGAUCUCUUGGCUCUC